rfam:Salmo salar isolate Sally breed double haploid chromosome ssa04, whole genome shotgun sequence.
UGCACAUAUGACUGUCAGUCACUUUGGAUAAAACUGUCUGCUAAAUGGCAUAUU